rnacentral:rRNA from 1 species
UCUCCUGGAAAACGGGUGGUAAUGCCGGAUGCUCCAGUUGAUCGCAUGGUCUUCUGGGAAAGCUUUCGCGGUAUGGGAUGGGGUCGCGUCCUAUCAGCUUGACGGCGGGGUAACGGCCCACCGUGGCUUCGACGGGUAGCCGGCCUGAGAGGGCGACCGGCCACAUUGGGACUGAGAUACGGCCCAGACUCCUACGGGAGGCAGCAGUGGGGAAUAUUGCACAAUGGGCGCAAGCCUGAUGCAGCGACGCCGCGUGAGGGAUGGAGGCCUUCGGGUUGUAAACCUCUUUUAUCGGGGAGCAAGCGUGAGUGAGUUUACCCGUUGAAUAAGCACCGGCUAACUACGUGCCAGCAGCCGCGGUAAUACGUAGGGUGCAAGCGUUAUCCGGAAUUAUUGGGCGUAAAGGGCUCGUAGGCGGUUCGUCGCGUCCGGUGUGAAAGUCCAUCGCUUAACGGUGGAUCCGCGCCGGGUACGGGCGGGCUUGAGUGCGGUAGGGGAGACUGGAAUUCCCGGUGUAACGGUGGAAUGUGUAGAUAUCGGAAAAGAACACCA